rnacentral:rRNA from 1 species
UACGGAGGAUCCAAGCGUUAUCCGGAUUUAUUGGGUUUAAAGGGUGCGUAGGCGGCCUAUUAAGUCAGGGGUGAAAGACGGUGGCUCAACCAUCGCAGUGCCUUUGAUACUGAUAGGCUUGAAUACACUAGAGGUAGGCGGAAUGUGACAAGUAGCGGUGAAAUACAUAGAUAUGUCACAGAACACCGAUUGCGAAGGCAGCUUACUAUGGUGUCAUUGACGCUGAGGCACGAAAGCGUGGGGAUCAAACAGG